AAACGGGAAUCACUCACUGAACAGACCAUUGGAACAAAACUGAGCUGCAGGGAUUUCUCCCACUUCCGAAAGGACAAACACAUGGCCUCCCAAAGUGCCUCUGCGAAUCUCUUCCCUGCGAUCUGCGAGCAAAGAUUAUUUACUUUGGGGGAAGCCAGCUGCCAUGCUGGAAGGAUACUCAGGCAGUCUAUGAGAGGCCCAGAGGACAAGGAGCUUCAGCCAAGAGCCAGUAAGAAACUGAGGCCUGCCAACAACCAGUAAGUGAACUUGAAAGCAGAUCCUCUCCCAACUGAGCCUUCAGAUGAGACUGCAGCCCCAGCCCACAGCUGGACUAAAACCUGAGAGACCUGAGCAGAACCACCCAGCUAAUCUUCUCCCAGAUUCCCAGGCCACAGAGGGUGUGAUUAAUAAAUGUCUGCUGUUUCAAGCUGCU